rnacentral:rRNA from 1 species
UACGUAGGGGGCAAGCGUUGUCCGGAAUCAUUGGGCGUAAAGAGCGUGUAGGCGGUUCGGUAAGUCGGCUGUGAAAGUCCAGGGCUCAACCCUGGGAUGCCGGUCGAAACUGUCGGACUAGAGUUCGGAAGAGGCGAGUGGAAUUCCCGGUGUAGCGGUGAAAUGCGCAGAUAUCGGGAGGAACACCAAUGGCGAAGGCAGCUCGCUGGGACGUUACUGACGCUGAGACGCGAAAGCGUGGGGAGCAAACAGG